rnacentral:lncRNA from 1 species
UCACCCAGGCUGGAGUGCGGUGGGGCGAUCUCGGCUCACUGCAACCUCCGCCUCCUGGGUUGAAGCGAUUCUCCUGCCUCAGCCUCCCGAGUAGCUUGGAUUACAGGCAUGUGCCACCACGCCCGGCUAAUUUUUUGUAUUUUUAGUAGAGAUGGGGUUUUGCCAUGUUGGCCAGACUGUUUCUCUACAAAAAUAAAAAUAAAAAAAUUAGAUGGACUGUAUUCCUGGAGAGUGGGGGUGGUGAAGGGGAGUAGGCUCAGUCAGGAAGAUUACUUGAGCCCAGGAGUUCAAAGCUGCAGUGAGCUAUGAUUGUUCCACUGCACUCCAGCCUGGGUGAUAGAGUGAGACCUGUCCUAAAAAAGAUAGAUAAAUAAAAUACAAUAAAUCUCAUGUACUAUUCAAAUUAACUUAAAAUGACAUCUGCACUCCUACUGUAUUUCUGCUGGACAGCACUGCUUUAGUAGCUGCAAUUUUGUUUCACAUCUUGGGUAGCCUCAAUAGCUGCUAUGGUUUGAAUGUCUCCUCCAAAGCUCAUGCUGAGAUUUAAUUGCCACUGAGGUGAUUAGAUCACGAGGGCUCUGCCCUCAUGAAUGGAUUCAUAUUCUUAUCACAGGGUUUGACCUCCUUCUUCCUGUCCCGCUCUCCUGCCUUCCAUCCUUCCGCUAUGGAUGAUCCUCACCAGAUGCUGGAAGCAUGCUCUUGGACCUCUCAGGCUCCAGAACUUUGAGCCAAAUAAACUUCUCUUCUUUGCAAAUACCCAGUCUGUGGUAUUCCGUUAUAGCAGCAGAAAACAGACUAAGACAAUAGCUCAGAAUCAAACAUAACAAAGAGAAAAACACACAAGAAGGACAGUAGACUGGAAAAGAGGAAUUCAAGUAUUUCUUCGCCAAUAUUUUUUUUUUUUGAGAUGAAGUUUCACUCUUGUCACCCAGGCUGAAGUGCAAUGACAUGACCUCGGCUCACUGCAACCUCUGCCUCCCGGGUUCAAGUAAUUAUCCUACCUCAGCCUCCUGAGUAGCUGGAACUAUAGGCAUGCACCACCACGCCCGGCUAAUUUUUUGUAUUUUU